UACGUAGGGUGCAAGCGUUUAAUCGGAAUUACUGGGCGUAAAGCGUGCGCAGGCGGUUAUGUAAGACAGUUGUGAAAUCCCCGGGCUCAACCUGGGAACUGCAUCUGUGACUGCAUAGCUAGAGUACGGUAGAGGGGGAUGGAAUUCCUGGUGUAGCAGUGAAAUGCGUAGAUAUCAGGAGGAACAUCGAUGGCGAAGGCAGCCCCUUGGACCUGUACUGACGCUCAUGCACGAAAGCGUGGGGAGCAAACAGG
rnacentral:rRNA from 1 species